CCCACCUUGGCACUGCGUGUCCAUCUCCCGCAGCAGCGAGGCGUUGCGCUGGAUGUCCAGCGGCAGCGACUCCACGCACUCCAGAAAUGCUUCUCUGUCUUCCAUGAGAUGAAGAGGAUGAAGAAUUAUACAAUAUAUCAAGAAAAUAAACCCAAAGAAAUGAAAGAAUGAGUACAAGCUAGAUGGGCUCUUUACAGAGUUGGCUGAAGGAAGCUAUAGGCCAUAGCUGACCUUUGUAUAGAUGAUAUUCCAGGAAGAAGCUAUCCUUGCAAGAGCUACAGAGGUACUAGUGCGUUUGUCCAGAAAACUGCUUUCAGACGGUGACUCUUUUUCCUCACCUCAUGUUUUAAAGCAUGAAUGAUCAGUGGAUUUGCUUUCCAGCUCCAGAGCCAAUCACCAUGACAAAAAACUCAGGAAGUGAGCAGAUGACGUUUAGGGAAGACAAAAGAGGAAUGGUAACAAGGUAAUCUUAUGCAAAUAUGUAGUAACCGUCUUUCUUGUCUUAGCUCAGCCCUGAAGCUUGAUCCUCUUCCAUUCAAGUAAACGGAAGAAUCCAUAUGACUUUAAUGGAAAAGAAUUGAGCCUUUUUUGCCCAAAGUAAACAAAGGAUUUUUUGUGUGCUCUUACCUGAGCUACACAAUAACAUGCACGCUGCGUUUCCAUGGUUCUGCUGCUCAGCACAGGUCAUGUGAAAAACACAUUCUUAUUUCUUCCUCUUGUGAGGAACAAACAUACGUAAUCGCACCUUUGUAACCAAGAUUAUGAAAUGAGGGCUGGCAGUGCACCUGCAGGAAGUUUCAGUAGUUGACAGUUUAAGACAUUCAUAAUACUCUCCCAUAUGUGGAUGUUAAUUUUUCUUUCUAGUUCAGAAAAUAAAGGUGGGAGUCACCCAGCUAAAUAUGUUGAAUAUGAGAGAAUCUUAGCAUAAAUAGGCCUUGCUCUACAAAUGUCUCCAUUGACUGUAAGGGGAGCCCAGGUCUGCUGUCACAGAUGUCAGUGAAAUGAAUUCCACUUCAUAUGCGAAAAUGGGGUAAUUACAUGCCUAUAGGUACCAUUUAUGAAUUUCAGAGUUCCCCUGAAAACUUGAAGAGAGUUUUGCAUGCAUCAUUAAAACUGCGCAACAAACAGGGGGAAGCCUCAUCUCAUUUCCCUCAUAAUGUGGAUUUUUUUUCCUUUUGGCAUCUGCUUAUCCAAACCUCGUACAAAUAAUUAAUCUCUAAUGCAACUGAAAAGUCACCACAAAUAGCACCAGCGAGUAUUUCAUGUCUUCAAAAUAACUCUGUAGCACCUAAGUCACCCACAUUAUGUGUUUCCUAGGAGUGCUGCUGCUAUGCAAACUUUUCAGUGCCACCAUUUACUCCAAGCUACCAGAAAGCAUUACUAGUAGGAUAUGACCAAUGCAGACUUUUUUCCCCCCAGGAACUGACAGAUUUUACAUUUGCUUUAUUAUUCAGUUGUAAUUGUGAGAAAAAUUAAUGGUUAAACAAGAUUAAUACAGAUCCUUAGCCUCUCAAACAUCCUCUUCCUCAAAAUAAUAAAGAGAAAUGUGGCAUUUAUUCCAAACUAAAGAAGAAUUUGGGGUGGAAGGCUGUUGUCAAAAUAUAGGCAGCAUCUGAUUGAAUAUAGUUUGUUUCUUAAACUGCAGCUAAAAUCACAGAAUGGGUGAGGUUGGAAGGGACCACAGCAGGUCAUCUGGGUCCAACCUCCCUGCUCAGGCAGGGUCCCCUAGAGCACAUUAUUUAAGAUUGUGUUUAGACAGCUUUUGAAAAUCCCCAGAGACUGAAACUUCACAACCUCUCUGGACAAUCUGUUCCAGUGCACAGUCACCCACACAGUGAUGAAGUUCUUCCUUAUAUUCAGGUGGAACAUCCUGUGCAUCAGUUUCUGCCCACUGCCUCUCAUCCGAUUGCUUGGCACCACCAAGAAGAACUUGGCUCCAUCCUCUUGACACCCUCCCUUUGGAUACUUGUAGACAUGGAUAAGAUCCCCUCUCGGUUGUCUCUUCUCCAAGCUAAACACCACAGGAUUUGAAAUGUAAAACAUAAAACAUCAGAGGAUUUAGAAAAUCAGGCAAACAUUGGUUAGAUAAGCUUUCUUACUAGCAACAAAGUAUCUUUUGCCCAAUGUGAUUAAUCUCUGAUGCUCAUAUUUAAAAGAAGUCCUUUUGCAGCCCACUUGGGCCUAACAAUUAAUGUUACUUGACUAGCAAUGACAGUUCAAACUUUAAAGGGCCGUAGGCUCAGAUGUCAGAGCCGAAUGAUGCUUUUUUUAGUUGCAGAAACGUUACUAGAGGAGGAAAAUACCUAGCUGGUAGCCACUGGAACUCAAUCUUCCAUUGCCUUAGGAGCAGGCAGUUGUGCUCAGAAAUUAUCAUGCACCAUUUUCAAAAUUAGCCUGCAACAUAUUUGAAACUGUUACGAGGUAUCAACAUAAAACCUGUUUUCCUAAAUGCCCAUCUGUGAAUGUGUGUUAAUUAAUCACAGACUAAAAACUGAUACUUCCUAAAAGCAAGAUUUAAUGACAGCAUUUUCUUAAAGACACUUAAACUAGCUAAUGGCAAUACCUUUGCUGUGGCAGUAUCAACUAACAGAACCAUCUA